AGAAUGCCCAGUUAAGUUUGAAUUUCAGAUAAACAACAAAUAAUUGUGGAGUGUAAGUAUGUCCCAUGAAAUGUUUGGGACAUACUUAUGCUCCACAAUUAUUUGUCGUUUUAUGAAAUUCCAAUUUAACUGGGUUCCUGUA
rnacentral:miRNA from 1 species